UACGAAGGGGGCUAGCGUUGUUCGGAAUCACUGGGCGUAAAGCGCACGCAGGCGGAUCGAUAAGUCGGGGGUGAAAGCCCGGGGCUCAACCUCGGAAUUGCCUUCGAUACUGUCGGUCUCGAGUCCGGGAGAGGUGAGUGGAAUUCCUAGUGUAGAGGUGAAAUUCGUAGAUAUUAGGAAGAACACCAGUGGCGAAGGCGGCUCACUGGCCCGGUACUGACGCUCAGGUGAGAACGCUUGGGGAGCAAACCGG
rnacentral:rRNA from 1 species